UACAGAGGAUCUUCGACUAACGACACUUACGUCCUGUGAGUAACGUCGAAGUCACUACAUCCUGUAGA
rfam:Sporolactobacillus laevolacticus DSM 442 Contig011, whole genome shotgun sequence.